UUACCCAGGCUUAUGAGACAACACACGUGUCAGAGAUGCCAUGCAGUUGUAGUGAUGCGCAAGGUGGUUGUACUUCCAAGGGGGGCGUCUCGAUAGUCCGAAGGUUCAUUGGUCCGAAGGUUCAUUGGUCCGAAAAGUGGCUUUCCUUUCCUUGAACAGGCCGUUGGUUCAGAAAAAGGCGUGGGGCAACUGAAUGGACUGGGAGAAAAAGCAGGAGCAAGAAGAUUUCAGGUGACACUCAUUAUAGUCAUGUGACCCACUGCAGUGACCAAUGGAAUCAUCUUACAGAAGGUCACAUGGUGAGAUUUAUGAUCUGAUAAAAAGGUGGGCCAUGCUAUGCUGAAGGUGCUGUGUGCCACAUCAUAGUUGCAGUCUGACUUGUAGGAGGGGUAGAGUGAAAAGCAGAAGUUCACAUUCUCUCACUUGAAUGUGAUGAACAGAGGGGCUCUGCAAGAUACAGCAUCACUAGAAUGAGUUAGACAGUUCACACUUGUGCUGAGAGAACAGGUCUGGCAUACAGACAGGAACAGGCUCUGAAAAUCUCCAGCUGAAAAUCUCCCCAGAGUGUUAUGCCUACCUCUGAGAGCAUUACAAACUUUAAAGAUCAUACCGAUUCCUACGUGCUGUAAAUCUAUCAGUCUGCAUGCUGAUGUAAGGAAGGAGCAAAGAAUUAGAGGCAUGGAAUAUUAUGUUUUUUUCCUCGGCCUGCCUCCCUCUUCACCUAAAACAAAUGACCCACCAAGCACUUAAACACCCAGAUCAUACAUUCAAGCAUACGUGUGCAUGAACUAAAGAGUAAGUAAAAUUGUGUACAUGUAUGAACAGUUCUUGGUUAAACAGUGUAAACUCUAUUUAACAAUUAAGACAAAACACCAUACAUUUAUUGGAGAGGAAGUUGGUUUUCUUCUAUUAUAUAUAGAUUUUGUGUAUAGCAUACUUUUAUACAAUAUAUAGGCAAAUUAAAGCUAUAUUGAGAGUGAGCAGUUUAAUAUUAAAUAUUUGAUUUG